GGUAGUGGUAGUGGUAGUGGUAGUGGUAGUGGUAGUUUUCUAGAUGGUAUCCCUGUGGUUUCCCAAGAUGCUGUGUGGCCUUUGUCAAAAACCAUAAACACACAAGAUGGCGGAAGAAGAAGAAAAAACGAUGGAAGAAAAACGUGGCUAAAAGAACCUACCUUUAUCCGUAGUCUCUCGUGCGCACAAAGACUGGGCACUAGACUGCGUAGUCUUACACAAUGACGUCACACGGUUCUCAAAGAUGACAUCACAAGUCCCCCAACUGAAGGUGUCUAUGUGCAUGGAUUGUAUCUAGAUGGAGCAGGAUCAGGGUUCGACGAAGCUGUAAGCUGAUAGAAGCUGCAUGUACCACUAUCACAUCAUUACCAUCGAAUGUACCAUUGUCCUAUUUAUAAGAAGCAGCGACGCGCAGGCCUGACGUACAUUGUCCGCGUGGACCUGAACACCAAUGAGAACCCAGAUCACUUGAUACUACGUGAAGUGGCUUUGCUAUGUGAUAUCAAGUAAAACAGUACAAAAACAUUUAUUGAUAGAGAUCAUAUAGAGAUUAUUGGGUUUUAUAGAUAAUCCAUAGACAUUUCCUUCGUCAGAUUAUUCAGCAGUUUUUGUUUUGCUCGCAGGAUGAAUGCGAUCCACAUUGCGCGAGAAGGAAAAACGCCAAUAAAAUGCCUAGAAAACGUCAAGCAGGAAGCGUUUUACUGAAAAAGCAAAGGACGCACCCAUAUACCGACUGUCCAGAUCGUCUUUCUAUAGAGCUGUUAAAUGUGACGUAAUUAGAACGAAAAACGACUUCCGGGUCCAACUUAAUAAUUACUUCUACAGAUAUUUUUAUGUGUUCUUUUUUCUUCAUAGCAUGAUUCUCUGGUCGUAUGUCUAAUUGUUGAAGGUAGAGAAUAAAUCCUGGGAAUAAGUUCUGGCAAGAUUUUAUCGAUCUCUUGCAUGAUUGGACCCGGAAAUACGUCACAACUUAAAAGCCCUAUAACAUGUUACUCUGUAUUAUUUAUGACGAGCUUAGAUUUCGUUGCCAGAAAAACAAGUAAGCCACAAAAGAAUUUCGUAGACCACAGAAAUAGAUUUUUUUUCAAAUAAUGAAUAGUAAUACUUAGUAUGUUUUGAUGUGAUUUGUAAAACAAUAUACACCUAAAUCCAAAAUGGGGCAUGGCCAGUUGAAAAGGAGGCAUCCAUGGCUAAAUUUGCAGUAUUUUCUUAUAAAUUAAUGCAGCAAAAUUGUCACAUUCCUGAAUGUAAGAAGAAAAGGAAGACAGAACAAGUGAACAAGUGUAUACCUUGCAUUGACACCAUAUUAUUUGUUUGCAUUUAGCCCUGGAUGCCUCGUUUUCAUGUAACACACUCGGUCAUGUGUCAUUUUUGGAUUCAUUUAUUUAGGUGUAUUAGCUCAUAGAUGUAGAGUAUAAAAUAUUUUUUUAGGAAUUAUUAGGAAUACUUAGGGUCUAAUGUAUACCAAUAGUAACACAAAUUGAAUAGUCUGUGGUCAAUGUCAAAAAAGAUUGACGUCAUAUAUUGAAUCUCGGUUUCGUACUGCCCCCCCCCCCCUCCUUUCCCCAUCAAAUAAAUCCUUGAUCCCCCUUUGUUCAAGAUAUUGUAUUAUAUUGCAUGAAAAUAUGUUAACAUAGCUUAUAAUAURAUGUGAAGCCAGUACAGCUGAGUUCUCUUUGUACAGUAAAUGAUUUAUUUCUAUGUUAACUUAUUAUAAUUUGAGUAGUGUGAAUAAUAGAACAUUGAACAAGUUA